UGACUGCGUACCUUUUGUAUAAUGGGUCAGCGACUUAUAUUCUGUAGCAAGGUUAACCGUAUAGGGGAGCCGCAGGGAAACCGAGUCUUAACCGGGCGUUAAGUUGCAGGGUAUAGACCCGAAACCCGGUGAUCUAGCCAUGGGCAGGUUGAAGGUUGGGUAACACUAACUGGAGGACCGAACCGACUAAUGUUGAAAAAUUAGCGGAUGACCUGUGGCUGGGGGUGAAAGGCCAAUCAAACCGGGAGAUAGCUGGUUCUCCCCGAAAGCUAUUUAGGUAGCGCCUCGUGAAUUCAUCUCCGGGGGUAGAGCACUGUUUCGGCUAGGGGGCCAUCCCGGCUUACCAACCCGAUGCAAACUGCGAAUACCGGAGAAUGUUAUCACGGGAGACACACGGCGGGUGCUAACGUCCGUCGUGAAGAGGGAAACAACCCAGACCGCCAGCUAAGGUCCCAAAGUCAUGGUUAAGUGGGAAACGAUGUGGGAAGGCCCAGACAGCCAGGAUGUUGGCUUAGAAGCAGCCAUCAUUUAAAGAAAGCGUAAUAGCUCACUGGUCGAGUCGGCCUGCGCGGAAGAUGUAACGGGGCUAAACCAUGCACCGAAGCUGCGGCAGCGAACGUAUCACUUAAAGCGAUUCAGCGGGUUACGAUUGACGGAGCGAAGCGACGUCAAAGCGUAUUCAAAGUCGAGUUGGCUUAGGGAUACGUUCGUUGGGUAGGGGAGCGUUCUGUAAGCCUGCGAAGGUGGCCUGUGAGGGUUGCUGGAGGUAUCAGAAGUGCGAAUGCUGACAUAAGUAACGAUAAAGCGGGUGAAAAGCCCGCUCGCCGGAAGACCAAGGGUUCCUGUCCAACGUUAAUCGGGGCAGGGUGAGUCGACCCCUAAGGCGAGGCCGAAAGGCGUAGUCGAUGGGAAACGGGUUAAUAUUCCCGUACUUGGUGUUACUGCGAAGGGGGGACGGAGAAGGCUAUGUUGGCCGGGCGACGGUUGUCCCGGUUUAAGCGUGUAGGUGUGUGUUCCAGGUAAAUCCGGUUCACUUUAACACUGAGGCGUGACGACGAGGCACUACGGUGCUGAAGCAACAAAUGCCCUGCUUCCAGGAAAAGCCUCUAAGCAUCAGGUAACAUCAAAUCGUACCCCAAACCGACACAGGUGGUCAGGUAGAGAAUACCAAGGCGCUUGAGAGAACUCGGGUGAAGGAACUAGGCAAAAUGGUGCCGUAACUUCGGGAGAAGGCACGCUGACACGUAGGUGAAGUGAUUUACUCAUGGAGCUGAAGUCAGUCGAAGAUACCAGCUGGCUGCAACUGUUUAUUAAAAACACAGCACUGUGCAAACACGAAAGUGGACGUAUACGGUGUGACGCCUGCCCGGUGCCGGAAGGUUAAUUGAUGGGGUCAGCGCAAGCGAAGCUCCUGAUCGAAGCCCCGGUAAACGGCGGCCGUAACUAUAACGGUCCUAAGGUAGCGAAAUUCCUUGUCGGGUAAGUUCCGACCUGCACGAAUGGCGUAAUGAUGGCCAGGCUGUCUCCACCCGAGACUCAGUGAAAUUGAACUCGCUGUGAAGAUGCAGUGUACCCGCGGCAAGACGGAAAGACCCCGUGAACCUUUACUAUAGCUUGACACUGAACAUUGAGCCUUGAUGUGUAGGAUAGGUGGGAGGCUUUGAAGUGUGGACGCCAGUCUGCAUGGAGCCGACCUUGAAAUACCACCCUUUAAUGUUUGAUGUUCUAACGUGGACCCGUAAUCCGGGUUGCGGACAGUGUCUGGUGGGUAGUUUGACUGGGGCGGUCUCCUCCUAAAGAGUAACGGAGGAGCACGAAGGUUGGCUAAUCCUGGUCGGACAUCAGGAGGUUAGUGCAAUGGCAUAAGCCAGCUUGACUGCGAGCGUGACGGCGCGAGCAGGUGCGAAAGCAGGUCAUAGUGAUCCGGUGGUUCUGAAUGGAAGGGCCAUCGCUCAACGGAUAAAAGGUACUCCGGGGAUAACAGGCUGAUACCGCCCAAGAGUUCAUAUCGACGGCGGUGUUUGGCACCUCGAUGUCGGCUCAUCACAUCCUGGGGCUGAAGUAGGUCCCAAGGGUAUGGCUGUUCGCCAUUUAAAGUGGUACGCGAGCUGGGUUUAGAACGUCGUGAGACAGUUCGGUCCCUAUCUGCCGUGGGCGCUGGAGAACUGAGGGGGGCUGCUCCUAGUACGAGAGGACCGGAGUGGACGCAUCACUGGUGUUCGGGUUGUCAUGCCAAUGGCACUGCCCGGUAGCUAAAUGCGGAAGAGAUAAGUGCUGAAAGCAUCUAAGCACGAAACUUGCCCCGAGAUGAGUUCU
rnacentral:rRNA from 1 species